rnacentral:tRNA from 1 species
AGUUGUAUCCUGGGGAUAGUUUGUCUUGAAAAUAAACUCGAAGCGUUCGAUUCGCUUAACAACUU